AGCCUGCGAUCAAUAGCUGGUCUGAGAGGAUGAUCAGCCACACUGGGACUGAGACACGGCCCAGACUCCUACGGGAGGCAGCAGUGAGGAAUAUUGCGCAAUGGACGAAAGUCUGACGCAGCAACGCCGCGUGCGGGAUGAAGGCCCUUUGGGUCGUAAACCGCUGUAGAAGGGGAAAAAUAUGUGCCUCAGGCACAUUGAUGGUACCCUUAAAGUAAGCCUCGGCUAACUACGUGCCAGCAGCCGCGGUAAUACGUAGGAGGCGAGCGUUGUCCGGAUUUACUGGGUGUAAAGGGUCCGCAGGCGGAUUUUUAAGUCGGUGGUGAAAUCCUACAGCUUAACUGUAGAACUGCCUCCGAUACUGGAGAUCUUGAGUAUAGAAGAGGGUGGCGGAAUUCCAGGUGUAGCGGUGAAAUGCUUAGAUAUCUGGAAGAACACCGGUAGCGAAGGCUGCUGCCUGGUCUAUUACUGACGCUCAUGGACGAAAGCGCGGGUAGCAAACAGGAUUAGAUACCCUGGUAGUCCGCGCCGUAAACGAUGGAUACUCGGUGUUGGCCGCAAGGUCGGCGCCCAAGCUAACGCAUUAAGUAUCCCACCUGGGAAGUACGAUCGCAAGGUUGAAACUCAAAGGAAUUGACGGGGGCCCGCACAAGCAGUGGAGCAUGUGGUUUAAUUCGAUCCACGCGAAGAACCUACCUGGGCUCGAAAUACUAGAUUAUCCAUCGGUGAAAGUCGGUGGCGCUUCGGCAAUCUAGACAGGUGCUGCAUGGCUGUCGUCAGCUCGUGCCGUGAGGUGUUGGGUUAAGUCCCGCAACGAGCGCAACCCCUAUCCUUAGUUGCCAUCAGGUUAUGCUGGGGACUCUAAGGAGACUGCCUACGCAAGUAGUGAGGAAGGUGGGGAUGACGUCAAGUCCUCAUGGCCCUUACGCCCAGGGCUACACACGUGCUACAAUGGUAACUACAGAGGGCAGCGACACCGCGAGGUGGAGCAAAUCUCAAAAAAGUUAUCUCAGUCCGGAUCGGAGUCUGCAACUCGACUCCGUGAAGCUGGAAUUGCUAGUAAUCGCGUAUCAGCAUGACGCGGUGAAUACGUUCCCGGGCCUUGUACACACCGCCCGUCAAGCCAUGGAAGCUGGGGGCGCCCGACGUCGGUGAGCUAACCGUAAGGAAGCAGCCGCCUAAGGCGAAACCAGUGACUGGGGCUAAGUCGUAACAAGGUA
rnacentral:rRNA from 1 species